ensembl:lncRNA novel transcript
GCUCAACUGCUGAAGGAGUUAGAACAUAGAGUGACCCAGGAAGCUCUCACCCAGCAGCAGCUGCAUUUUAUGAAAACAUCCAGGAUGGAGAAGCUCUUGGAAGAUGUGGGGCAAAAAGAACAGCAACUGCAGCUCCUUAGCAAAGAGGCUGAGAGGGCUUCUAAGCUGGGCCAACUGCAGCAGAAAAAAAUGAAGAGGGACCUCCACCAGAUGAGAAGCCGGCUUGCCCAGGAGCGCAGUGUGAAGCUGGAUGCUCUCCAGCGUGCAGAGGAGCUGCAGGGUCAGCUUCACGAUGCCCAGCGGUCAGCUGUCCCCAUGGGCUCGUCAGGCGGUACCUAUUAAACACAAAAAAAGAACUGACGAUGUUUUCCUACCCAAUAUGGCAGAAAAUGUUCAACUGACAGCUUUUCAGGUUCAAACAGCUCCAUCCAGAUUCCCAUUUAGAGCUGACUGGUGAUGAUAUCUUCUUUUUCCAACCUUUAUUUCUAUGAGUAUUUGAAUGAAUAAAAAUGACUCCAAAUGCCAUUAAAUCUCUUACUUAAUUUUA